rnacentral:rRNA from 1 species
UGCAGUCGAGCGGAUGACAGGAGCUUGCUCCUGAAUUCAGCGGCGGACGGGUGAGUAAUGCCUAGGAAUCUGCCUGGUAGUGGGGGACAACGUUUCGAAAGGAACGCUAAUACCGCAUACGUCCUACGGGAGAAAGCAGGGGACCUUCGGGCCUUGCGCUAUCAGAUGAGCCUAGGUCGGAUUAGCUAGUUGGUGAGGUAAUGGCUCACCAAGGCGACGAUCCGUAACUGGUCUGAGAGGAUGAUCAGUCACACUGGAACUGAGACACGGUCCAGACUCCUACGGGAGGCAGCAGUGGGGAAUAUUGGACAAUGGGCGAAAGCCUGAUCCAGCCAUGCCGCGUGUGUGAAGAAGGUCUUCGGAUUGUAAAGCACUUUAAGUUGGGAGGAAGGGCAGUAACUUAAUACGUUGCUGUUUUGACGUUACCGACAGAAUAAGCACCGGCUAACUCUGUGCCAGCAGCCGCGGUAAUACAGAGGGUGCAAGCGUUAAUCGGAAUUACUGGGCGUAAAGCGCGCGUAGGUGGUUUGUUAAGUUGGAUGUGAAAGCCCCGGGCUCAACCUGGGAACUGCAUUCAAAACUGACAAGCUAGAGUAUGGUAGAGGGUGGUGGAAUUUCCUGUGUAGCGGUGAAAUGCGUAGAUAUAGGAAGGAACACCAGUGGCGAAGGCGACCACCUGGACUGAUACUGACACUGAAGGUGCGAAAAGCGUGGGGGAGCAAACAAGGAUUAAGAUACCCUGGGUAGUCCACGCCCGUAAAACGAAUGUCAACUAAGCCGUUGGGAAGCCUUUGAGCUCCUUCCCGGCCCCGGGGGGUUUUUUGUUUUCAAUAGCCCCCAACCCCCCGGCGGGGUGGUUCUUCCACAGAAAAGUCCUGUUG